GUGGGAGAUAAAAGGCCACCUGAGUUCCCCCAAGCUUCAGUCUAGGAGAAAUGGACAAGAUCCUGACAGCAUCGUUUUUAUUCCUAGGCCUUCACUUAGCUGGGGUGAGUGGCCAGCAGAAGGAGAGACAUGACCAGCAGCAGGUGAAACAAAGUCCCCAAUCUUUGACAGUGUGGGAAGGAAAGACCGCAGUUAUGAAUUGCAAUUAUGAGAACAGUUUAUUUGACUACUUCCCAUGGUACCGGCAGUUCCCUGGUGAAAGCCCUGAACUCCUGAUAGCCAUACGAUCAGUGUCUAAUCAAAAGGAAGAUGGACGAUUCACAGUCUUCUUCAAUAAAAGUGAGAAACAGCUCUCCUUGCACAUCGCAGACUCUCAGCCUGGAGACUCAGCCACCUACUUCUGUGCAGCAAGUGCACAGUGCUCUCCAGGCACCUGCAGCCUAUACCCAAACCUGCAGCUGAGGCUCCAGCAAAGCCCUGCUGUGGGCUGAGCCUGGCAGAGAUGCAGGGGAAGUUUCAUUCGUAGGAACAGUGGAUGUAAAGAUUAGACUCAUUGAGGCUGGAGACAGCCCAAGCUCGUCACAGCUUGCUUUUUUUCAGUCUGCCCUUGUUCCUCAGAAACAGCUGCAGUUUUGCACGUAUUUGACUAGUUUAGAUGAAUUGCUCUUUUGAAUGGUUGUACAGCUAGUUCUCUGUGUGGUUGGUUUGUACCAGCUAUAAAUUAUAAAGGCUCCAUCUAUCUACUCUAUUGUCAUGAUGCUAAAGUGUGGAUCUUACAACCCAGGGUCAGGAGAGCUUGACUUUGACUUCUGGGACAGAAAUCACAUAGGGUUUUCUUUUACCUUAAUUUCCUCUGAUGACCAGGGAAGUGGUGAUUUAAAUGACCACUGACCUCUUCUACUUCCUCAUGUUUUGCCUCUCAUAUCCACAUCUAUCUUCAAGAAAUUCAAGUUUGUAAACCAGGAGGCCUUAUCAAUAAUGUAGGUGUGUCUACAAUACAAAUGACAUCAGUGGGAAAAGAAGAAUCCAAUUUACUCAAAUAGUAAAUUGCAUAACCUUCACUAAAGAAGUGACUUCAUAUGUGUAUAUUAUAGAUGAACAAAAUAUAAUUUUGAAUAUAAUUUUUUUUCUAAUAGAAUCAGCUGCACUCUUUCUGGCUAUUCAC